rnacentral:misc_RNA from 1 species
UCCCUUCCAGAUUCCACCCUCUCCAUUGCAGGCUCUUCCCCCAAACUAGAGUCCCAAAUGUCCAGCUGACCGAAUCCGGGACGACUAAUGAUCCGGGUGGGGGUCGAAGGAAGACUGCAAAAGCCGGGACGUAGAGACGAUCCACGAGGCGACUCAAACCCGGAUCCGUUCUGCAUGCUCCAGGAUGCUGGUCCCACUUUCGUCUUACCAAGCUGCAAACCCCGCAUAGACGCAACGAGCUCGCUCAUCGGGUUAAAGCACCCACCAACCACCUGGGGGCUACUCGGCGAAAUUGGCGGCGAAUCAGACU